UUUACUUGAAGAUGCAAGGUCUGGCCUUGAAGGUGUUAGCUUAGAUCUUCACCAAUUCAAGUUUCACAGUCGGAACAUCUUGGUCUUAUGAACCUACCUCUGGCUCAUCCGGCUUUGAGCAAACAGUUUCCAGGCCUUUCUCGCUUCUAGGGUUCUUUUGAAACCCUAGACUUUCGAGGUUCUCCUGUUUCCUCUAGAUUUGUUCUAUAUCUGUGUUUCUUUUAGGGUUUUCAAACGAUUUCUCAAGUUUCUUUCAAAACUUUGCUUUCAAACUGUUCAUCUUCUCUGACUUAGGGGUUUUCUUUAAUUUUACUUGUUCUAUUGUGACUCCUAUGUGUUUCUUUUACUGUAUUUGCUCUACUGUCAUUCUUCUGUGUUUUCAUCUGCAAUGCUUUCUUCUACCAUUUCUUUAUGAGUUCUUUUACAGUAUUUUGUUCUUUUAUGAUGUUUUCCUGAACUGCUUAAGGUUUUAGUUCUGAGAUUUUUUGAACUUAUUUCGUUGUUGUUCUUGCCUGAUUUGCUUGCUUUCGUCUAUACGCUCGAUUAAUAGUAGAAGCCCUGAUAUUUGCGGGUUUUUCAGUCGAGUUCUUGAGACCACUCGUAUGGGACUUGUUUGCUUCCCAUAUAUGAACUAAUUUUGUUUCAAAGCCCUAAUUUCUGAGUUCACAUUUGUUUCUACCUUGUGGAUCUGAUUUUUGCUAAACUCUAUAAGACCUUUUAUCUAACCUCCCAUGCUAUCUGAUGCUCUCUUUUAACGACAGUCCUCUACUCACUGGUGUUUGGUUGCAUGAUACUUUCUUUUUUGUUUGGGUCCAACCUCGCAUGUUUAAAGCUCAUGCCCUCUUUAUAGUUGGAUUUUCCCUCUCAGAACAACCUUUGAUAUGGGGAUUGAUUUCAGACUGCCUUGUUUUGAAUUCGGUUAAUUCUUUCCUUGUUUAAUCUGAACCUCUCGAUUCCCCUAUUGUCUGGCUUGGUUCAUUGGUGAUUUGGGGGAUCUCUGAUUCCCUGAUUUACUAUGUGCUAAUCGUUUUACUUAUUUGACUUAUUUACUUAACCGUGUAUUUCAAAAUUCCCUUUCCUUAAUUAAGAUCCACAUGUGCUUACCCUUAUUUGCAUGUUGUGAACAAUGUGUUUAUUUGAUCCCCUUUCCUUAAAUAUUUCUCGUAUGUACCAUUCAAAUUUGAAUCCGUUAAUUAGGGGAAUCUUCUUCUACUGAUUGAUUUUUAAUUGAUACUUGAUUAUUUUCUUGCCUUAUUACCUAUCUGAUUUCAAAGUAUAAAUACUUGCUUCUUCUCGCAACGCACACACUUCAGAUUAUACACAG
rnacentral:lncRNA from 1 species